UUGUCAACUGGUAUGAAGUAUUAGUGUGAAGUUUCAAGAUUGAUCUGAAGGAACAAGUUCGUAUGGCGUUGUCUCACAAUUUAGUAUUUGGGUCCAGAAUGCAUGAACUCGUGCAUUUAUUGAACAUGAUUGGGACCUGGUGAGAAGCCAGCAGCACCACCACCAGCUACAGCACCUGCAGCCGAGGUACCGAAGAAGGCAAAGAAGUGAGACCCAUGAUGAAGAACACCAAAGAGAACACAAAUUUUGGUGUUCCUUGUGUCUUUAGUAACUAUGUUAGAUUAUUUUUGGCUACUUCUUUCUAUUUGUUCUGGAACUUACUGUUUCAUCUGGUAGAAAGACGGAGUCUGAUGAUUUUCAAAGUUCUAUUUAGAUCCUUGUCUUUCCAAUUAUUAUCGUGGAUUUCAUUCUUUUAGUGUUGCACUUAAUUUGAAUA